AGAGUUAUAAGCAUCAACCUGUUUGACAACCUGUGUGAUCAAAAGGGACUGAAUGCAUGUAUGAAAAUUGAAGUUUUAUUCAUUCAAGCAUGAAUCAAAGAAAUGAAACAGCAGUGAAGAAGUAUUUGACAGAUUGCAACCUAUAGGUGUCUGUUUGAGCUAUGGUCAUGGUUUGACCAUAUUGGACAAAUUUUCUGGAAAUUUCAACUCCGCUGUCAUUGAUGCUCUGAAAGAUGAGAAAAGGAUUCGCUUGGUAGGAGACAACAUUAAUUGGAAGACAAAUGUUCAUGACGAGAGACAAGACAACCAUGGUAAAAUGCAUCAUGCUUUUGGAUCCGCUGUGAUUGUUCAGACCCUAUCUUUUGACAAUAUAAGCAGAAUUAAACCUCAAAAACUUUUCUAUGAAGUAGAC